rnacentral:rRNA from 1 species
UAGCAAUUAUACCGCGAAACUGCGAAUGGCUCAUUAUAUAAGUUAUCGUUUAUUUGAUAAUACUUUACUACUUGGAUAACCGUGGUAAUUCUAGAGCUAAUACAUGCUGAAAAUCCCGACUUCGGAAGGGAUGUAUUUAUUAGAUUAAAAACCAAUGCCCCCCGGGGCUCUCUGGUGAAUCAUGAUAACUAGUCGAAUCGACAGGCCUUGUGCCGGCGAUGGCUCAUUCAAAUUUCUUCCCUAUCAACUUUCGAUGUUUGGGUAUUGGCCAAACAUGGUGGCAACGGGUAACGGAGGGUUAGGGCUCGACCCCGGAGAAGGAGCCUGAGAAACGGCUACUACAUCCAAGGAAGGCAGCAGGCGCGCAAAUUACCCAAUCCCGACACGGGGAGGUAGUGACAAUAAAUACUGAUACAGGGCUCUUUUGGGUCUUGUAAUCGGAAUGAGUACAAUUUAAAUCCCUUAACGAGGAACAAUUGGAGGGCAAGUCUGGUGCCAGCAGCCGCGGUAAUUCCAGCUCCAAUAGCGUAUAUUAAAGUUGUUGUGGUUAAAAAGCUCGUAGUUGAACCUUGGGCCUGGCUGGCCGGUCCGCCUCACCGCGUGCACUGGUCCGGCCGGGCCUUUCCCUCUGCGGAACCCCAUGCCCUUCACUGGGUGUGGCGGGGAAACAGGACUUUUACUUUGAAAAAAUUAGAGUGCUCAAGGCAGGCCUAUGCUCGAAUACAUUAGCAUGGAAUAAUAGAAUAGGACGUGUGGUUCUAUUUUGUUGGUUUCUAGGACCGCCGUAAUGAUUAAUAGGGACAGUCGGGGGCAUCAGUAUUCAAUUGUCAGAGGUGAAAUUCUUGGAUUUAUUGAAGACUAACUACUGCGAAAGCAUUUGCCAAGGAUGUUUUCAUUAAUCAGGAACGAAAGUUAGGGGAUCGAAGACGAUCAGAUACCGUCGUAGUCUUAACCAUAAACUAUGCCGACUAGGGAUCGGACGAUGUUACAUUUUUGACGCGUUCGGCACCUUACGAGAAAUCAAAGUGCUGGC